ACUCCUACGGGAGGCAGCAGUGGGGAAUAUUGCACAAUGGGCGCAAGCCUGAUGCAGCCAUGCCGCGUGUAUGAAGAAGGCCUUCGGGUUGUAAAGUACUUUCAGCGAGGAGGAAGGCAUUAAGGUUAAUAACAUUAGUGAUGACGUACUCG
rnacentral:rRNA from 1 species